rnacentral:rRNA from 1 species
AUUGAACGCUGGCGGUAGGCCUAACACAUGCAAGUCGAGCGGAUGAAGGGAGCUUGCUCCUGGAUUCAGCGGCGGACGGGCGAGUAAUGCCUAGGAACGUGCCUGGUUGUGGGGGAUAACGUCGGGAAACGGGCGCUAAUACCGCUUACAUCCUGUGGGAGAAAGUGGGGGAUCUUCGGACCUCACGCAAUCAGUUGAGCCUAGGUCGGAUUAGCUAGUUGUUGGGGUAAAGGCCUAGCAAGGCGACGAUCCGUAACUGGUCUGAGAGGAUGAUCAGUCACACUGGAACUGAGACACGGCCCAGACUCCUACGGGAGGCAGCAGUGGGGAAUAUUGGACAAUGGGCGGAAGGCUGGUCCAGCCCUGCCGCGUGUGUGAAGAAGGUCUUCUGAUUGUAAAGCUAUUUAAGUUGGGAGGAAGGGCAGUAAGUUAAUACCUUGCUGUUUUGACGUUACCAACAGAAUAAGCACCGGCUAACUUCGUG